CCGCCCCGCCGAUGGCGAGCAAAGGAAGCGGACCGAGCUGCGGGGCAGCGCGCGGCUGGUGCUAGGAGCUGCGCACCGGGAGACGUGGGGCUGCAGGGCCGGCUCCAGUUUCAGCCCUUGCCGAGCUGUCACCGCGUUUGAUCCUAGCGCACGGUCGGCGUGGAGCGGCUGCAGGAAUCAGCCCCGCUCCGCAGCUGCUGGGGGCGGGCACUGGCCUCUGCGCCCCCGCCCCGGGUGCGGGUGCGCAGGGACGGGGCAGUAGCCCCAGCCCAGCGGCAGGAGUCGGCGCCGUCCCCUCAGCUACACAUAUUUCGCUGAAGCAACUUUUAACUUUUUCCUCAUCUGGGCCAGGGCCGCUGUCCCGUCCGGGCCGCAGCGGCGCUGAUGUCCUAAGCAGCGUUCUCGUCCGUGGGCGUGACGCUCCCGCCAGUAUAGGGGGCUCGGCAGUUUCCGGAGUGUACAUGCAACCGCUCGUUCUCUUCAAUCAGAUCCAGGUCACUAAAGUCCUGCUGGAAAAAAGUCCUCUGGCUGGCCAGGUGCCAGCUUCGAUUUCUUGCCUCAUCUUCCUCUUCCUCACUCAGCACUUGGCCAUAGCUGCUGAUGGGACUGAAGGGGCUUGCGGGUUGCAAGCCAAGAACCAUAAUGGAGCACCGCCUUCCUCAGACUUGUCUAAGAAACAGAGGCCUCCUGAGAACUGCUUUUGUCAACCAAACAAAGAUUAGGAAGCUAGAACAGAGCCCUUCCUUCCAACAGUGCUAGCAAGGAGGAUGAAUGUGCCAGUGUUGUGAGAUUUCCCUAGCAUAGUACCAGGAAAGGCUCCCUGCCUGCAGUACUAGCUCCAGCCCCUAAUUGCUCUGCUUCCUGGACUGUUAUGGAACAGGAGCAGUCUGCAAGGUGUGCAAUUACAUGGCCCUGACAAUCUUCCCUCUUGCCAGUCUGCAGUGAUAGCAGAUACAGAUUUACACAAAGCCACCAGCACCUCUCUUCAUCAUCACCUGUUGGGAUCAACUUCUGUAUACAGAAGAGGACCAGCCAUUUACAUAGGACACAAUUUCAUCUGCAGUUACCUGUAUAGGCUGAACAUUAACAAGGAUACAAACCCUCCUGACCCGAUCAUGACACUUGUUUACCUUUCAUUGUAUAUUCAACAACCUAAAACAGUGUUUUUCUUCUGACUUUUUUCCUAACAUUUGAAGUGUCAAGUCCUACCUUUUUACUUUGGGGAAUUUUGGCAUAUUUUUUUCUGCAGGCCUAGCGGAUUCUCCAUCGUUGCACUCUGCAUCAGGACUGGAUAUCUUUCUAAGAUGCUAUAGCUCAAACAGAAAUUCUGGGCUUAAUGCAUUUAUUGGGUGGAAUCCUUUGGUCUGUAUUGUUCAGGAGAUCUGACUGAACGAUAGUAAUAGUUCCUUCCUGCCUUAAAAAAAAAAAUCUACAAAAAAAACCAACAAACACCCCCCUCUCCAAAAAACCCUGGCUCCCCCUUCUACCUCACUCCUUCCACCCUACCUGGUUCAUCUUGUAGAAGCCACGUCUGUGUGGUCAGGCAAAGGUUAUGAAGGGAAAUGCACAGAAUCACCGCAUCACAGGAAGGACAAAGACCCUCUCCUCUCAACAUCCCUACAGACAGUAGCAGCACUAACAAGCUUCACCUCCAGAUCUGGAAGCACUGAACAGAUAGGGGACACCUCUGCAAAACUUAUCACAGCACCCUGUGGAACAAUAGACAGGAUUACAGUGGAUUUUUGCAGUGCCCAGUGGAGUUCCUGACCCACAUGGUGUUCUGGCUGGAGUGAGUCCCCAGCCAGGCCCAAUCAUACAAGAGACCCUAUUGAGUUAGCAAGUGCCCAGCCCCUGCCCAAUGAGUAGAUCCAUUUCCUUGCUGCCACCUGAAUGAUAACAUUGUAAUCAGAGAGGAAAAUACAGUGCACACACUAAAAUAGGAUCAAACACAUACCUCUCCCCUAGCUCCUCUGUUCUGGUCUCUUUUCACUCCCCCCUACCUUAGUCUGCACAAACCACACAAUUAGACACUUUUUGUGUCCUCCUCCCAUGCAUCUCCAAGCCUUUGUGGAGUCCUCACUGACCUAGUGCAUCAUCUCUGAACACUCCCCAACUGGACUAGAAUAAUA